AGUGAACGCUGGCGGCAGGCCUAAUACAUGCAAGUCGAACGGCAGCACAGCAGAGCUUGCUCUGUGGGUGGCGAGUGGCGGACGGGUGAGGAAUACAUGGGAAUCUGCCCAGUCGUGGGGGAUAACGUAGGGAAACUUACGCUAAUACCGCAUGCGCCCUUCGGGGAAAGCCGGGGACCUUCGGGCCUGGCGCGAUUGGAUGAGCCCAUGUCGGAUUAGCUAGUUGGCGGGGUAAUGGCCCACCAAGGCGACGAUCCGUAGCUGGUCUGAGAGGAUGAUCAGCCACACUGGAACUGAGACACGGUCCAGACUCCUACGGGAGGCAGCCAGUAGGGAAUAUUGGACAAUGGGCGCAAGCCUGAUCCAGCCAUGCCGCGUGAGUGAAGAAGGCCCUCGGGUUGUAAA
rnacentral:rRNA from 1 species